AUAUAAGAUAAAUAUAGUGGAUCAUGUAGAUAUGAUAUUAAAGUACUAUAUUUUAUAAGGAAGGUGGAUUAUUGUAUAUUUACCACUGUUUUCUGCUUAAGAACCAAGGUGAUACUUAUAUAAUUGUUUUUACCCUAGCAUUUUGGGAUAAUUCUUGAGUCAUAAAAAUCUCCUGAUCAACUUGGUGAUUGAAUUGGAUUGCAUUAGUUCUGAUAGAAACUGUUUAAAAAAUUACCUGACAUUCUAUAGAAAUGAAAGGAGCCAUGCUGUGUAAUCACAAGGCUUUCAUGACAUGACAUUUAUAGAUUAUAUGAAAUAGGUAAUUUCAAAUGUAAAUUUUAAGUUUUAUUUACUAUUAGUCAUCGUUUUUUGAUUAUUUAAAAAUUUGUACUAUGGACAACUAAUUAAUUUUACUUUUUAUCCUCUGAGAUUUGAUUGUGGAGCGGCAUAAGGGGGAGAAAGAUAAGUUGAGGACGUCUCUUUAUCUUUUGUUAAUCAGAGGUGGUGAUAGAGUGGAAAAUAUAACACGUUUCGGCAUUCAGGAGACCUACCUUCCAAUAAAUAUGAACCUCAAACUGAAUCCUCUAAAGGCCCCAUACAAUGAAGUAGACAUUGGUGGAAACAUUUACACCCAGUCAGCUUGAAGAGUUUCAAAUGGACCCUACCACUGAGAAAUCAAGAUGGCAGUCUACUAUGGGGAAUUGAGGAAAAAUGGAUUAAUACAAGAGUCCUGUGAUAAUAUACAACCAAGACAGGGUUCUUUUAACAUGGAUUCCAUGCAGUGAAUGAAGACAUAGGUUUCUUACCCAACACAAAUGGACAGUGGAUUUGACUUUCUAAAGACUUUUUUUGUGGACAUUUUGACAUUUGGAGAAGAAAGAUGGCACACUAACCCAGAUAAUAGUUUUUAUGCCUGGAAUUUUUUGCAGUUUGAUUUGUAUGCGUAUGACCUCUUGAAAUGUUAAUUUUUAAUAAAAUUUGUAACACU
rnacentral:lncRNA from 1 species